AGGGACGCAGGUGGCGCUGUGGGUUAAACCACUGAGCCUAGGGCUUGCCGAUCAGAAGGUUGGCAGUUCGAAUCCCUGCGACUGGGUGAGUUCCCGUUGCUCGGUCCCUGUUCCCGCCAACCUAGCAGUUCAAAAGCACGUCAAAGUGCAAGUAGAUUAAUAGGUACCGCUCCGGCGGGAAGGUAAAUGGCAUUUCCGUGUGCUGCUCUGGUUCGCCAGAAGCAGCUUAGUCAUGCUGGCCACAUGACCCAGAGGCUGUACAACGGCUCCCUUGGCCAGUAAAGCGAGAUGAGCGCCGCAACCCCAGAGUCGGCCACGACUGGACCUAAUGGUCAGGGGUCCUUUUACCUUUACCUAGCUGAGUCCCUGAUGUAGAGUAGUGGAUCUGCUUCCUGAAAGAACUGCCUCUUGCUAACUUCCACUUGGGCUGUCUUUGUAUAUGUGUAAACAAAGCAAAUAUUGCAAAAUGUCACAAGUCUCCAUGCAAAACCUGGGUUUUGCUGUCCCUGAAACAUUUUGCCAUUAACAGAAGCAAAGAGCGUACCAUUCCAUGAACCCUGUGUCACAGAAUAUAAAAUCUAGUUUUCUCAACGCAACCAGUGCUAGAAUCUGCAGCAAAUGAGGAACUUGGCAACCUGAAAGGUAGGGAACAAUCUGUCACAGAAGCUUUCAUUAAAUUAAAUAUUGACACUCUUAAUACAACUGUAUAUCAUUUAAAAUUCAGUGAUCUCAUUUUCUUAGUUCCUGCCUCUCAGCAUGCUGUUUGCCAAAUAUAGAAGUUGGCAGCCACAGAAAUUAGAAAGCUUUUAUAAUUAAGGUUUAGAAAGCUCCUAUCCAGGAUCUUGGAAGCUGGGCUGAAGAAAGAUAUAUACCAGCAUUAUUUGAGAAGGAUAAAUAUCCAUUCCCAUCCUGUGCUAAUACUGGGGUUUGUUUGUUUUUAAUGGAUGGACUGUUAGACACCUAAGGUCUAUCACAUUUCUCCAAUGUGGAACUGCAAUGUAGCGCCUUGGCCAAAUCAGUAUUUUCUAUUAUUCUUACACUGCAGGCUACAAGUCCUGAAAGACCUGCUCCCUGCCUUGCAGGCCUUUUUCCACCUGGGCUGGGAGAGCGGGGCCCUCACUGACUCCAGCUACAAAAGCUGAGGCUGAGGAACAGGCUCUUGGGCUGGGGUGUCGUUAGGGGUUUUUGUUGGGGAGUGGGUUAUUGCUGUUAUUGAAAUUAUUCUUUUACUCUUUAUUUUAGUUAUUAUGAUUUAUGUGAAAAUUGUUCAAUUUGGUUAUGCACUUUUUGCUGUUUUCUUUAUUGUUCAAUACUACUUUUGUUAUGUUGUAAUCAUGUGCUUUUUAUGUGGCAUGCUGCCUUAAGCAUGGUUUGAACUAUGGAAAGGGAGGUCUACAAAUAAAAUUAGGUAUGCAUGUACUAGUGAAAGCAUGGCAAAAUAAGGACCAGUGACAGCUUGACAUGCAAGGUCUCCCUCUCUCAUGUGUGCAUGCGUGCGCAUGCACACACACAGAGAGUACAUGCACAUCAUUUCUUUUUCAUAGGGUUUGGGUAAAUGCCGGGUUCUGCAAACAAAUCAGAACGGUCUCAAUAAAGACCAGAUAGAAUCUAAGCGCUGUGUAAGCAAAUCAGGAUGGAUGCUCAAUAAAUAGGUUGUCUGGAGGAACCCACCAUAUGCCAGUGAGUGCAGCUGUAAGGGUGAAUCGGUUUCAACCUUUAAAAAUGCCGCUAGAAAGAGGGAGGCUGCUGUUAGAGCUGAAGGCAUGUAAGUAAUUGUCAGUGCAGCAGCAUAUCAUUAGCCUAAAGCUAGAUAAAAUGAAUUACAGCGCAUAACAGAAGCAUAGUAUCGCAGAGAGGAUCUUGUAGGACAUCAAGUCCAGUCUUCUUCUUGAUGUAGGGAAGCAAAGACACGGUCAGGUUUAUAUUUAUCCUGCAUUUUACAUAAACGCAUCUGUGCUCAAAGCAGUUCACAGAAAUUAAACAGGCUCUCAAAAUCAGCUACUAGUGUUUGGGGGAUGGGCUUGUCUGUUCGCUUAAGUGAUGUCCAGAUGCAUAGCAAUCUUAACCAAACUUUGCAUGGUACUUCCUGAGAUCAAGGAGCAGGCUUUUGUCUGUGCCUGGUUACAAUUGGAUGCAAUUUUGAAUAAAGAUAAUGCAUAAUGGACUGGAUCUUUCAAAACUGCAGUGAUUUUAACCCAUGUUAUAAAAGCUGCGGGACGUGGAUGGCGCUGUGGGUUAAACCACAGAGCCUAGGGCUUGCCAAUCAGAAGGUCGGCGGUUCGAAUCUUUUCCAUGCGCUGGCCACAUGACCCGGAAGCUGUACGCCGGCUCCCUUGGCCAAUAAAGCGAGAUGAGUGCCGCAACCCCAGAGUCGCCUGCGACUGGACCUAAUGGUCAGGGGUCCAUUUACCUUUACCUUAACUAGAUAUGUAGCAUUUUUAGAUGAGCCUGUGUUUUCUGAAUGCCAUAUGGAAAAGCACAUGAACCUAACUUUGGGAGAAUUUGUAAGUAAUCCAUUUCUAACUUACCAAACUUGUGGUCUUUUUCCAUGCUAGAGAAAGAGGCGCCUGCACAUAACUGACUUCUGUUCUGCCCUCUUCAUUUCUCUGCCUGUUCUAGGAGAUCACCAGGGAGGGGAGCUGGGUGCAGCAGGAAGGGGUGACUCCCUGGCUUCUUCUCUCUCUGUGUCUCCUGGCACCACACCUCUCCACCCCCCUCUUCUGCCUCAGAGCUUGAACUGUCCUCUGCCACCAACUUUGCUUGCUCACUAAACCCUGUUACCUCCCUUGCUUAUGGCACCACCUCCGCCUCCCAGUCUUCUCUUCCCUUCUCUGACCACCCGUCGUCCUGCUACCACCAAUCCCAGGCUCUUCUUCCCAUGGGGACUCCAUGGCUGGUGCCUCUCAACCCUCCUCUAGAUCCAGCCACUCCAUGACACAAUAUCAGGGGUUGAUUUGAUUUGUCAUAUUUCUAUGCCAGGCAAAGACACUCAAGGAGGGUGCAAAGCUGGGUUGAUGAGGGCUGUGGCCUACAGAGAGUCCUGAGGGCCAGAUAGAAAGGUUUGGAGGGCCAGAGGAUACCCCUCCCUGGUGGAGGGCUUUCACAGGAUUGGGACUGCCAGUAUCCCUGGCAAAGCAGAUCCCACUAUCCCUACAGGUAACUGGUUCCAUUUCACAAGAACGAAGAGUCUUUAAGGAAUAACUUAAUGUCCAAAGAGUUUGUCACCAGAGCUCUGCUUAUUGUGUCCCAGCAGUGAGAAAUGAAACAAGCCUCCUAUAAGAGCAUGGCUGGGUGAGCUUGAAAUGCAAAGACAGGUGGCUGAUUUAUUCCUGCAGCAGCUGAAUCUUCCCCCUUGGCUGCAGAAAAGGUGACACUGUUUUAGGCAUCGUCACAACAUGGUUGGUUUGUUUUAUGACACAGCACACUUCACUGUCUUUUCUUUAUUUUAUUUUUUAUUUUGAGAAAGUAACCAUACAUAAAUAAGAAUAAAAAUGUGCACCCCAACACCGAGACCAUUCCAUUGUAACUAUCCAACCUCCCAAAAUAUCAACACCUCUCGCACUGGUUUGACCCCUUUCCAUUUUAACAGUACAAAUUCCACAAACACCCUCCGUAUAUCCUCUAAAUAAUUUCUGCUACCUAUUCCCCAUCUUACCUUAAUGGCACGUAUUAAUUUAUCAUUAACAACUAUUUCUCACACCUCUUUAUACCAUUCUUCCAUUUUAUAUUCUGCUUGCCCCUUCCACUUCCUAGCUAUAAUAAUUUGUGCUGCUGUCAAUAAAUUUGUGAACAAGUCCUUCAUAGCCUGUGAACCUUCCACCUCAUCGUAAAUUGAUAAUAAUGCUACCUCUGGACUUUUGGCCAGCUUUAACCCAGUGAUUUCUGUUAUCUCCUUAAACAACCUUUGCCCCAAAAAUUGUACAUAUAUACAUUCCAACCACAUGUGAACAUAAUUCCCUGUUUCCUGGCAUCCCCUCUAACAUAACACCGAAUAUUCCUUGUUUAUUUGAUUUAACCUAACUAGUGUUAAAUACCAUCUCCAAACUAAUUUAUAAUAAUUUUCUUUUAAUUCUUAUAUUUCUUCUUACAUACUCCAGGAUAUGAUUAAAUGAUAUGAUAUUAUAGGAUGACACCAUAAGAGAACUUGGUUGGUGGUAACCAGAUACCAAAAUUUGUAAGUGUUUUUAAGUGAGGCAAUAGCCCACACUGACAUUUGCAAUAUACAAGCUUGCAGCCUGUGCUACAUUUUCUAUGAGAAGGAAGAAAAAGGGAAAAGCAAAUACUCAGCUGCAGUACAUGGAGAAAGAUGACCUCCUGCAAUGAAGGAAACCUAGGAGAAAUAAAAGUGCCCGGUUAAUUGGGUUUUAUUUGCUGUUUGUGACCUGGUUGCUAAGCUUUCUUUUGGACCAGUUUUGAUGGUUGUAGAGUAAGCAUGUAGAUCAGGGCCUCUUGACUACACAGUUAAUCUUCCCUCAAUUCGACAUGCCCAAGCAAAUGGUUAAAAACAACAACCCAGAAAAGAAGAAAUACAUCUCCCUCCUGGCACUUCAAACUUUUAUUAGAACCAAUUUAAAAUGAAUAAAGACACUCCAAAAUCCUGAACACCCCUGGUAUCUGCUGAACUGAUGAUUCAGCCUUUUAGUCUGGCUGAGUAGUGUUUGUUUGUGUGUGUGUGUGUGUGUGUGUGCGCGCGCGCGCGCGCGCAUAUAAGCUAAGAAAGAAAGAAAGACUGCACUGCCAACCACUGCCCUAUGAUUUACAAAUAAAAGAUGAUCCCAUGACUGGCAAUAUUCCCCUCAGUGCAGGACUGCUACUUUUUCCUCAGCAAAGAGCAGCAUGAUGUGCUAAGACUGGGAAGUCACAAGGGAGUACCGUAAAAUCUGAAGGGGCCGUAACACAUGAGACCCACAGGAAAGGAAAAACUUGGCAAAGAGUAAUGACUCAUGAGGCAGACUGACUGAUGUAAUGAAUACCAUUCGUAAAAUUAAGUAAAAAAGUUGUCACUUUUUAGGGGUUUUUUUGCUGGGCCCUUACGAGCUGCACAGUAGCCAGAAAUUCAACAGGUGAAACAGUACAACUCAUUGCAUCUCAGUGCAAGGAAGACUGUACUUGUUGAACACAGGGCUGUUAUAAGAAGCUUUGAAUAACUCUCUGUCCUUGUAAAUCAGAGGGGCAAGGCUGCAAAAACACCAUACAUUAAAAGCAACCCCCCCCCCAACCCAAGAAUCCUAGGAACUGCUGUUUGUAGUUCUGAUGAGGGAAAACUUCAACCCCCAGGAUCCUUGCAGGCAGUUUUGAAUAUGCUUUGGAUACUCGGUGUGUACACAGCCCAAGGCAGAAUAUUUAAUUUGUAUUGGUAAACCUUCUCCCUUUAUUCUUUGUACAGUUUCUGCUGGCUCCAUGACGAAUCUUUUCUUCCCACUGAAUGUUCUAUGCAAAGACUCUUGUAAAGUUUGCUCUAAAAUGGACUCCGUUCAAAACCCUUUUGUACUUAUGGAGAGUAGAUCUUGGCUGCUUUGCUUAAUAGGUAGAAGUUUCUCUUGACCCAGAGAACACUCAAUUAAAUAACUCUAGACUGCUUGUUAUUUAAAGUGGAUCGCUGCUUUAAAAGAGAAGUUGUUUCUAUUUGAGGGGAACGUUUUCCUUUCAGGACCUUUUCUUCUUCUUUAGGCUCUGUUUGAACUCUGCUUACGUCGUUCUCUGGCAAACCUCACGCCAGGAUUGAUUCUUCUUCCCACUCCAAUGUAAAUGCAAAGGGAAACCCAGUGAAGUUAAUUGAGCUAAACCGGUCUGAACCUGGAGAAAGACAAAUUACCGAGAGCUUUACUUGAGCAAGGAACAACCCUUCACUGUUGCUUCUCGAAAUUGUGACACGUAAAUUAUAGACUACGGUUUUACAGGAGAAAACAGGAUUUGAGGGCUGGUAGAUUCUAUUCCUGGCCCUAGAAGAGGGUGUGUUCUCUAGGCAAAGCAAGGAGUUCCAGUUCUGAGAGGUCAGCUCUUCUUUCCAGAGUCUAACCUCUACUCUUGUAGUCUUGUCUGUGCAUUGGGGCAGGGAUAGAACUGUACCUGUUGGCCAGCCCCUAAAAUCAUCAUCAUCAUCAUCAUUAUUAUUACUACUACUAUUCUGCCUUCGGGCAGAAGAUAUAGAAGCAUGAUUAGUCGCACCAACAGGGUAAAGAACAGCUUCUAUCCAUGGGCUGUUAGGCUGCUGAAUGAAAAGACAACAACAGGGCAACUGACUUUCGGGUUUGGUGGGUGUGCGUCAGGAAACGAGGGGAAUUAAGACUAAGAGAGCUGAGUGGGAGGUGCUCGUGUAAUCUCACUUAUACAAGUUGUACAAGUGACAAUAAAGUAUUUCAAUUAUGCACCCAACCUCUGACAUCCCGGGUCAUCCAAUGACGCUCAAUGGAAAGCGGUUAAGAACAGAGAGAAGGUAUGGUGAGACAACGUGGUGCAGUGGUUAGAGUGCUGGACUAGGACCUGGGAGACCAGGGUUCAAAGCCCCACUGAGUCACGGAUAUCGCCAGAUGACUUUGGGCUAGUCACUCACUCUCAGCCUAACCUACCUCACAGGGUUGUUGUGAGGAUAAAACGGGGAGGAGAAGAGCUAUGUAUGCCACUUUGAGCUCCUUGGAGGAAAGGUGGAAUAUUAUAAAGGCAGUAAGAUAAAUAAACAAAUGGAAGUCAUUCAUCACACAGCACAUAGUUCAGUAUGGAAUUGAUACAAGAUACGUUCACCAGCUAAGGUGACUUUGAAACAGGACUGGACAAAUUCACAGAGGAUAAAGCUAUCAAUGGCUAUCGGACAUGAUGGGUAUCUACUAUGUUUAUCAGGAGCAGGGUACCAGUUGCUGGGGAAGAACAGCAGGAGAAGGCAAUUGUCCUCAUGCCUAAAUAUGAAUGGUCUUCCCAUAUGCAUCUGGCUGGCCAAUGUGCAAUGCAGGAUGCUGGACUAGAUAGGCCUUCAAACUAUUCCAGUAGGACUCUCCCUCAGGAAGUUGAGUCAGAUCAGAGGGUCCGUUCACUCACAAGUGGUACCUCAAGCCAAUUGAGAAGCUUUGAAGCCCUGUUCUGACUGUGCCAUACCCCAUAUGGAAAAGUAGGUUGAGCCCAGGAGAUGGAGCUGCUUUUGUACUAGAAUGGCAGGAACCAAUCAGGAACCAAUUAACUUCAGAAAAGAGAAGUGUCCGUUCUAGCCUGGUCUGGAAUAUCUUAUAUCAUGGGUAGGCAAACUAAGGCCCGGGAGCCGAAUCCGGCCCAAUUGCCUUCUAAAUCCAGCCCACGGACGGUCCAGGAAUCAGUGUGUUUUUACAUGAGUAGAAUGUGUCCUUUUAUUUAAAAUGCAUCUCUGGGUUAUUUGUGGGGCAUAGGAAUUCAUUCAUUUUUUAUUUUAUUUUUCAAAAUAUAAUCUGGCCCCCCACAAGGUCUGAGGGACAGUGGACCUGCCCCAUGCUGAAAAAGUUUGCUGCCCCCUGUGCCUUGUAUCAACAUGCAGUCCCAAAUGUGUGCAUUGCUGGUGGGCGCAUUGUUUAAUCUGGUGAAAGAAUCCCUUUUUCUCUCUUAUCCCACUCCUAACCCUCUGAAACAGGCAACGCUUCUGUGUCCUAAGGCUCCUCCCUUGAGACAGGAAGGAACUGUCCUUGCCAAAAGAGGUCAGGGAGGCGGUCCUUUUUGUGUGACACACAACUGUUUGGGUUUCUAGCUCCUGGAGAACAGGAAUGUGUCUUUCCUUUCAGAAUACAAGUAAAAUAAUUAUUGAUAUUUUUUUUAAGGAAGAAAAAAAGCUGUUUAAAUAAUAUGCUGGCACAAUGUAUCUAGUGCUAGAAGUUGCAAAAAUUGAAAAAGUUUCUUGUAUUAAAUCCUUUCUUGGAGAGCAAGGCCUCCAAUGAAGCUGAAUAUUGGAAGAUUCUGGAUGGUUAGUAUAGAAAUUUAUUUAUGUAUGCUACUACAGCAGCAAGAAUACAGCUUGCCCCAAAGUGGAAAGAUGCAGAAGUCCCAGCAAAGGAAGAAUGGAUACGAAGACUUAUGGAAUAUGCAGAAAUGGUGAAACUCACCGGAAGAAUAAGAAAUCAAGAUAACAAACUUUUUAUAAAAGAAGGGGAAAUGGUUUAUUGAAUAUUUACAGAUAAAUUGCAAACAGAUAAAAACAUUGGCAGGAUUAUUGUAAUAACCUGCAGUUUCAUAAUGUAGGUAAUUAAAUGAGCAAAAAAGAUAUUAAAAAAUAAAUUUAAGGAACCGCAGAAAGAGAGGGAAUGGAGUCAAACUUUGAAAUGUUAAAUUGAUUGUAAAGCUAAUGAAAUGUAAGUGGUCCAUGUUUCACAAGCAUAUAGUAAGGUUGGUAGUAAAAAAGCUUUGUAAACAAGCAUUUUGGUUUCCCUGCGAAUGUCUCGGCAUCCAGCUGGCCACUUUUGAGUAUAGGAUGCUGAACUACAUGGGCCAACUGGCCUGAUCCUGCAGGCUUUUCUUACAAGGGCCAGCCAAACGCCUGUGGGAUUUCCCCCUGCUCCUCAGGCAAUAUAUUGUGGGAAUGGGUGAGCCAGCAAGCAAAUCCAGUUUGACCUUAAGUUUUGUUUUUGCUUGCUGGCCAAAUACCUACUAUUUUUCUGGGGCAAAGUUCUUUGAACAAGAGCAAUGUUGUCAUCUCAGAUGGGAGAGAGUCAAUCUGACGCAGCUGGUUUUUCCCCAGUCGACAAUGGGUUAACUCACAUACCACUGAAAAACCAGAAGAAUGGCAAAGGGGCCAAAAAUUCUAGUUAAAACUGGCCUAACAUCAUUCAACUCUCCCUGAAUACAGGUAUCUGUCAGGACAGUUAUUGUUUGGUAAGCUGAUAAGUAGGGAUGGGUGUAUUAGUGUACAGAUUGUUCCUUCUGUUUUUUAUAUUCAGGGUGUGAGUGCUAUUGUUUUCUUAGCCAGAGCGCUGCCACCCACACAGACGAGGUAUUUUUGCCAGUCUUGGCAGAACCUGAAGAUUUGCAGAAAUACCAAAAGUAUUUUCAGGGGAAUACACCUAAGGGCGGACCCCCCCCCCCCCAAAAAAAGCUCAGAGAGGAAUGAAAGUGUGCAGUGGCUACAGAAUGUUGACUGCCUGGAAGAAAGUAUAAGAACUGGGUGAUGGCGGCGGCAGAAUGUAGAAUGCAUAGAAUCCUGAAAAGAAGCCCUCCGCACUGCAACAUUUUGUUGUAGUUCAUUUGUAUCCAAAGUCCAUGAAGCUGACAACCCUGAUAUUAAUUUUCUUCCCCAUGUAAUGGCUGGGAAAACAGCCCCAUUUCAUGCCUGCAACCCAUGUCCCAACUAUAACCCCCUUUUAAUCCAGGAAGAGACUUGGCUGCGCCCUUGCCAAUUCUCAUGUUUCCUCAAAUGUACACCACAGGGUUUUCUCAAGCACCCACAGCUUAUGUGGACUUCCCCUCAUUGGUCAGCAGUUGAAUGAUGACAUCAUCUGCCAAUCACGUCUACCUUGAUUAAAGAAGCAUAAAAUACAGCAUUACGUCUGUGUGAUUUAUCACUCAUGCUUCGGCCAGGGGCUACCAACUGUUGAGCUGAGUCUUUUGUUACGUUAGGUUGCCCAAUUCACAGGUUGCUGGUCUAGAUGGGCAUUUGGCCUUCUUAUGCUCUUUUGCUAUUCUUAUUUUUGCUUCUCUUACAAAUACGUCUGGUUUAAAAAACCCAAGCAAACCACCAGUGUACAUUGGUACCUCGGUUUAAGAACAGCUUAGUUUAUGAACAACUUGGAUUAAGAACGCUGCAAACCCAAAAGUAGGUGUUUUGGUUUGUGAACUUUGCCUUGGAAUAAGAACAUGUUUC